rnacentral:lncRNA from 1 species
AAGUUCUGUUGCUCCCUCUCCCCCAGCAUCCUCCUGGGACAUACAGCGAUGGCCCCCACACCUGGAAGGACUCAAGCUCUGAAUCCAGCACCUUCAGGAAGCAAGUGAUGGCAUCCCAGAGGCCCUAUGCUUGAGACAGACUGACGAAAACAGGUGGAUCUAGGUAAAAUCAGUCUCUGCUACCCUCCUCAUCUAAACCCUCAGUGCAGGGUAAAGUUCACCAUAAAUAACAAAGUCAUGGAGUCAAGCUGUCACAAUUGGCCACCGUUCCUAAGGCAUUUGAAUUGUAUGCAUUGACAGGAAAAAGCAGGAAGGAGUGAAGACAGAACAAGGGGAGAAUGUAACCUGAGUUGGAAGGUGUAAUAUUUAAAUGUAUUUGCAAACCUGUUUUGGGCCAAAAGGGGUAGGAGGAAGAGAAGACGCAUUUGCUGAGAUCUAUUAUAUGCCAAUUGGAGGACUACAGAUUUCACAAUUCACAUCUGUUGUCUUAUUUCUUUCUCAUAAUCCCAAAGAUAAUUCUAAAGUUACACAUUAUCAUCUCCAUUUACAAUUAAGAACUGAUGCUCCAAGAAGAAAGAUCUCACAGUGUGUAGGCAACAGACCUAAGAUUCAAACCUAUAUUGGUGGGUGUUAAUGUCCUUGUUCUUUCUGAUGUAAGCAUGUAACAUUUCCACAUCUCUGAUUCCAUGCUCAAGGUGGGCCAAGCCAUGCUGCUUGUAAGACAGGGUGCCUGUGAUGACACAAGUCAUUAAUGCAAGUGUUAAGUGCCAUGCAAGCACAGAAGCCACUUAAAAUGGGUUUUCGGAAAUGAAAGCUGGGCUCAAACAGAGCCCACUUUCAAGGGGGCCUGGUUUAAGUGGCCAAACUCUCAAGAAGAAAGGCAUUAAAGGAAGAGCCUUUCUGCUGGGCUGGCAAAACUUUAGGUUCAUGAAUUCAGGAGGAGACUGAGGAGGAGAAAACAGGGUUUUAGAAUGCAGCCUCAGGAGCUGCCUGCACCUCUCAGGCCAGGAGGUUGGCUUUUCCAAUUGUGCGAUUAAGCUAUUCUACCCAGCCCCACCUCUCAUUUUCAAUUAAUCUGCACUAAUGAAUUCAACAACCAAAAUGCAUUUGCUAAUUGAGGUGCUUGCUGGCCAGGUCAUCCGCGCUCCCUUGUCUAACAGCUGGUACUCCCCACUGUGCCACGGUAAAGUAGGGUAGUAGAGGCCUCUGCUCCCCUCAUCCCCUGCUGCCCCUGAGGGGAAUACCCAGUGGGCAAGAAAAGGCCCAGCCUGGGAGAGAAUGCUCAUAAUAUAUUACUAAGUCACAGACAGAAAUUGCUCCUCCGGGCAGUCUUUCACUUUUUGUUUCUAAGUGAAAGCUCAUGACCAUCCCAGCCAUAUUAUCUCCCUGGCCCUUGGAAGCUGUUAUGUAAUGGAAAGGGCAUUAAACUCAGGCCAGGAAAUUCUUGAUACAGAACCCAGACUGUUGUUGAUAACUGGGUUGACUUUGGAAAGUGACUGCCUCCCUCCCUCUCG